AGCUCCAAUAGCGUAUAUUAAAGCUGUUGCAGUUAAAAAGCUCGUAGUUGGAUCUUGGGCCUAGGCUCGCGGUCCGCCGCAAGGCGUGUUACUGCCCGUCCUGGCCUUUCUCUCGGUUUUCACCCGGUGCUCUUGAUUGAGUGGCGGGGGUGACCGGAACGUUUACUUUGAAAAAAUUAGAGUGUUCAAAGCAGGCCAUACGCCUGAAUAGCAGAGCAUGGAAUAAUGGAAUAGGACCUUGGUUCUAUUGCGUUGGUUUUCGGAACUCGAGGUAAUGAUUAAGAGGGACUGACGGGGGCAUUCGUAUUGCGGUGUGAGAGGUGAAAUUCUUGGAUCGCCGCAAGACGACCGACUGCGAAAGCAUUUGCCAAGAAUGUUUUCA
rnacentral:rRNA from 1 species